GCCUGGGUGGCUCAGUUGGUUGAGCAUCCAACUUCAACUCAGGUCAUGAUCUCGCCGUUCGUGGGUUCAAGCCCGCAUCGGGCU
rnacentral:tRNA from 1 species